CCUAUGGGAUGCAGCAGGCGCGAAACCUCCGCAAUGCGAGCAAUCGCGACGGGGGGACCCCAAGUGCCACUCUUAACGGGGUGGCUUUUCUUAAGUGUAAAAAGCUUUUGGAAUAAGGGCUGGGCAAGACCGGUGCCAGCCGCCGCGGUAACACCGGCAGCUCUAGUGGUAGCCAUUUUUAUUGGGCCUAAAGCGUUCGUAGCCGGUUUGAUAAGUCUCUGGUGAAAUCCUAUAGCUUAACUGUGGGACUUGCUGGAGAUACUAUUAGACUUGAGGUCGGGAGAGGUUAGCGGUACUCCCAGGGUAGGGGUGAAAUCCUGUAAUCCUGGGAGGACCACCUGUGGCGAAGGCGGCUAACUGGAACGAACCUGACGGUGAGGGACGAAAGCCAGGGGCGCGAACCGGAUUAGAUACCCUUGUAGUCC
rnacentral:rRNA from 1 species